rnacentral:lncRNA from 1 species
AUAUUUAAGAGGAAGUUUAAAUGAUUCCUCCUCCUGGUCUUUCUCACUCUCCUGGAUUUGUUUGCAAACUCAAGAAGGCACUUUAUGGCCUCAAACAAGCACCUCGUGCCUAAUUUGAGAAAUUUCUCACUAUUGUUAGCUCUCUAGGUUUAACAUCUAGUCAUCAUGACUCCGCUUUAUUCUUUAGAUGAACUUCAGCUGUUGGCAUUCUAUUAUUGUUAUAUGCCGACGAUAUGAUUAUUACUGUGAUGAUGUUGAUGGAAUUGCAAGUUUGAAAUUAGAUUGGCUUGUCGUUUUGAAAUGAAGGACUUGGGUACACUGUCUCAUUUUUUGGGGAUCGAAGUUGCUUCUUCUCCUAAACGUUAUCUUAUCUCUCAGUCCAAGUAUGCUAUAGAUGUUAUUGAGCGUGCUCAUCUUAGUACUCCUCUUGAGUCUAAUGCUCGAUAUUCAUCCUCUGACAAUGUACACCAUUGACUAACCCACUUUGUAUCGCACUAUUGUUAGAUGUCUAGUUUAUCUUACUAUCACACGUCACGAUAUUGCUUAUGUUGUUCACAUUGUUAGUCAAUUUGUUUCAGCUCCUACUACAGUGCAUGGGGCAGCAGUUGUUCGUAUUUUACGUUAUCUUGGCGGUACAUGCUUUCAAAUUCUUUUGUUUCCAUCAACCUUAUCCUUAGUGCUCCAUGCCUACUCUGAUACUGAUUGGGCCAGCGACCCCAUUGAUUGCAAGUCCACCGCUGGUUUUUGUAUAUUUUUGGAUGAUUCUCUUAUCUCUUGGAAAAGUAAGAAGUAGACUGUUAUUUUCCGUUCCUCUAUAGAAACAGGGUGUCGAGCUAUGGCCUCCACUACCACUGAGAUUAUGUGGUUGCGAUGGUUACUUGCAAAUAUGGGUCUUUCUCAUUCUUCCCCAACUCCUAUGUAUUGUGAUAAUACUAGUGCUAUUCAGAUCUCUCACAACUCUGUGUUCCAUGAACGCACAAAGCAUAUUGAGAUUGAUUGUCAUCCGGUUCGUCAUCAUCUGCAGACUGGCACCAUUUCCCUACCUUUUGUUUCUUCAUCGUUACAACUUGCUGACUUCUUCACUAAGUCCAUCCGGUUCAUCGUUUUCACUUCUUACAUGACAGACUCUCGCUGUUUCUUGCUUUAGCAUCAUGAGUUUGAGGGGAGAUAAUAAUAUACAUGUUUAUAUUUAUUUUAUUUAGCAUAAUAUUUAAUUUCCUUUUUAGGUUUCCUUGUAGUAGUAUAAAAUCUAUAUUUAUUUUCAUUGUAAACCCUAAUUCUAGU